CAGCCGCCACGGGAAUACGAAGGGUGCAAGCGUUACUCGGAAUUACUGGGCGUAAAGCGUGCGUAGGUGGUGGUUUAAGUCCGUUGUGAAAGCCCUGGGCUCAACCUGGGAAUUGCAGUGGAUACUGGGUCACUAGAGUGUGGUAGAGGAUAGUGGAAUUUCCGGUGUAGCAGUGAAAUGCGUAGAGAUCGGAAGGAACAUCUGUGGCGAAGGCGACUAUCUGGGCCAACACUGACACUGAGGCACGAAAGCGUGGGGAGCAAACAGGAUUAGAUACCCCCGUAGUCCCUGUCUCUUAACA
rnacentral:rRNA from 1 species